GACGAACGCUGGCGGCGUGCUUAACACAUGCAAGUCGAACGCUGAAGCUCAGCUUUUGUUGGGUGGAUGAGUGGCGAACGGGUGAGUAACACGUGAGUAACCUGCCCCCUUCUUUGGGAUAACGCCCGGAAACGGGUGCUAAUACUGGAUAUUCACUGGUCUUCGCAUGGGGGUUGGUGGAAAGGGUUUUUCUGGUGGGGGAUGGGCUCGCGGCCUAUCAGCUUGUUGGUGGGGUGAUGGCCUACCAAGGCUUUGACGGGUAGCCGGCCUGAGAGGGUGACCGGGCACAGUGGGACUGAGAUACGGCCCAGACUCCUACGGGAGGCAGCAGUGGGGAAUAUUGCACAAUGGGCGCAAGCCUGAUGCAGCGACGCCGCGUGAGGGAUGGAGGCCUUCGGGUUGUGAACCUCUUUCGCUCAUGGUCAAGCCGCAACAAUGGUUGUGGUGAGGGUAGUGGGUAAAGAAGCGCCGGCUAACUACGUG
rnacentral:rRNA from 1 species